AUUUAGAGGAAGGAGAAGUCGUAACAAGGUUUCCGUAGGUGAACCUGCGGAAGGAUCAUUGUCGAAACUUGCCCCUCAAAACGACCCGAGAACUUGUUUAUACACACAACGGGGAGGCAGGCCGCGCGAGGGGUACCAUCCCGACCGCGGUCGUCCUUCCCACCCGCCUCGACGCGGCACCACCGCGGCGAGUGCGGCUCAACAACGAACCCCCGGCGCGAAUCGCGUCAAGGAUCACGAAACGAAAAGACGGAGCCGUCGCUGCCCCGGGAACGGUGAGCUCGACCGCACCGUCUAUUGAGAAUCAAAAAUGACUCUCGGCAACGGAUAUCUCGGCUCUCGCAUCGAUGAAGAACGUAGCGAAAUGCGAUACUUGGUGUGAAUUGCAGAAUCCCGUGAACCAUCGAGUCUUUGAACGCAAGUUGCGCCCCAAGCCAUUAGGCCGAGGGCACGUCUGCCUGGGUGUCACGCACAGUCGCCCCCCAUCCCACCCAAGGGUGAGGACGGAGGGGCGGACGAUGGCCUCCCGUGCGCUCCUAGCUCGCGGCUGGCCCAAAAGCGAGUCCGCGGACGACAAGGGAUGCCGCGACGGUCGGUGGUACGCGAAGCUGUCCCCGUCGUGGCCCCGUCGACCCGUUCGGACGCCUCGAUAGACCCUGACGCGUCGUCACGAACGACGCUCGCUCGGCGACCCCAGGUCAGGCGGGAUCACCCGCUGAGUUU
rnacentral:rRNA from 1 species